UCCACACCCUGAAGAAUGUUCUGGAAGCCAUUUUCUGAAUGUCUAAGGACUGUGGUAAGUUGCUUCUCCUCUCUUACUAAAUCAAUUAUUUGUCAUUUGUAGCAUCAUGUCAGAAUUUACUUUAUAUUGUUGCUCAAUAUGUAAUGAAGCUAUUUGUGUACGGUUUUGUAUCUAAAAAAUAUGGUAUUCUAAGAGGGCUAAUGUCACCCAGUGAAUGCUAGCUAGAAUGUUAGCCACCUCAGACUUCGUUUUUGUGAGAGAUGUGGGAAAAUUUCAAACAUUAUAUGAAAUAGAAUAUUUAAUAUGUAAAUUGUACAUAGUUAUGCUCUGGAGAUGUGGCGAAAAAAAUAGUGAGUAACCCUGGUCUAGGCAGUAUUGAGCGUGGGUGGCCAGAGCACAAAAUCAUGAGGUGUGUGUGUGUAAAUAUUUUUGCUUCUACAUUGUUAAUGGCGAGGUUACUAAACAAUCACCUGUUAGCUUACCAGCGUGAAGAUAUGCAGAUAAGAUUACAGGUAUCAUAAAUCAUGUUUAAUUUUAUGUGUUUUUUGAAUUGAGUGUGCAAUUUCACAUUUGUUGGCCCUUUUUUUUGGUAGCCCUAUUUGAAAUUAUAUAUAGGAGUAUCAAGUCAUUGGGUUUUUCUAAUGAUCAUUUUUCUUUUAUUUGUGUAUACAGUAUUUGUUUUGACUGGGCCUUUCAACUUUGGCUGUAUGUUUUGCUUCAAAAUAACUGAUUUGAAACUCAUUUAAAAAAUAUAUCAAAUGACCUGUCAAUUUCUGCUUUUUUUCUGUUUCCUUGCAUUUGCCAAAUUCGGUGUCCCAGCUGUAAAUGAAUGUGUCAAAGUUGUUGACAGUUCAGGGACUGAGAUAGAUGAUGAUGUUUUUGAGGAAAAUGUGAAGGAUCCAGCCACUGGGGUACUAACCAUCCAUUUCCAUCCAUUUUCUACCGCUUAUUCCCUUUCGGGGUCGCGGGGGGCGCUGGCGCCUAUCUCAGCUACAAUCGGGCGGAAGGCGGGGUACACCCUGGACAAGUCGCCCCUGAUCGCAGGGCCAACACAGAUAGACAGACGACAUUCACACUCACAUUCACACACUAGGGCCAAUUUAGUGUUGCCAAUCAACCUAUCCCCAGGUGCAUGUUUUUGGAGGUGGGAGGAAGCCGGAGUACCCGGAGGGAACCCACGCAUUCACAGGGAGAACAUGCAAACUCCACACAGAAAGAUCCCGAGCCUGGAUUUGAACCCAGGACUACAGGACCUUCGUAUUGUGAGGCAGACGCACUAACCCCUCUUCCACCGUGAAGCUAACCAUCAAAUACAAAACAGAAUCUGUCUCCAUGGUAACCUCUCAAAAGUCACAAUCAUCCGUUUGUUCAUCCGACUCAGACACAAUCAUCCUUGAAGACACGCCUACCAGAAAGCGUCAGAGGCUGGACUCUGAAGCUAUGCAACUGGUGAAAUCCAUUCUUACCAAUAAAUCGGGUGGAGAAAUAUAUAAUAAAUGAAUACAACCGAACUAAGUCCUUGACAGAACAGAGCAGAAGAAAAUUGGUGAAUAUACUGGCAGCUGAGAUGACGGAGAAGAAUGGUACAUCUCCGUCAAGACGGGUGAAGGAAAUGUAUGCACAAGGAAUUGUGAACUUGUUCCCCAACCUCAGAGACCCAUUUUCCAAGAAUGGCUAUGAACAUUUUUAUGGAGAAUUAAAACUAUUCAGAGAUGCAGUGCUAAAGAAAGGCGAUCAUCAUUUGGAGCUUUGGCGGAAGGACCAUCUGAUGAAGACAAGUCGGGAGGACCAACUGUUGGACGAGUUACCCAAUUCCAUCCAGAGAUUGUCCUGUCUUGGAAGCGAUGUCACUGAUGAAACAUUCGGCUGACGUGGACAUGGUCAUCAAAAAGAUAAAGCUGACAUUUGCCCAUCGGCAUAACAUGGUCCUGGACCAACAGCAGUCAAGCAACAUUCUAUCUUAUUUUCCUCGUUUUAAAGACCUCAAUGGCUUGGUUGAACAGGAUUUUGUUCUAAUGUUUGGAGAGGAUUAAUAGUGCAAGUUUCUGGAGAAGUGGUCAACCACAUUCAAAAAGAUCUUCCAACAAUACAGAAAGCUUCCCUCCAUUUUUGAGCUUGAGGAACUCCUGAUGGCAGCUGACCCUCCUGAGGAUGGGGCUGAAGUGAAUGUUGACUUUGGUUGGGACAGCGACCUCAUCGAUUUUGCUGCUCUUACACUUGAUCGCACCGACUGCUCUAGGUCGGAAGAGGCCAGGAGAAGUUUCUGCAUCCCGGGCUGAGAAGCAUCUUGUGGUCUUCAAAAAGACUGGAUAAAGCAUCUUAGAACAUCUUGACACCAUUAUUACCACCACUCAACCCUAUCUCCUGGCUGUUGGAGUGAGGAAGAAUACAAUCCACGAGUUCUUGAUAAUUCUCGACAAGAAUGCCGUACCUUGCAGGUCACACUCCUCUCUUGGUGCAUUUGAUGAACUGUUUAAAGCACACUUUGUGUUUGCGACAUCAUACCACACCAUGCUCCACAACAUGUACACAUUCAUGCCUUACUCCAAACCAUUUGAUGUUCAAAUGGCGUAUUGUAUGUUGUCCCAUAUUGUCAUUUCAUGCAGACCUAAGUUCACCCUUUAUGUAUUCUAUCCCUAAAGUUGAUAGUCCUGCCUGACAAAUAAUUAAAGGUUACUAAACGUA